UGAAAGUGCUGGUAUAAAUCUCGGUAAA
rnacentral:sRNA from 1 species